rnacentral:rRNA from 1 species
AGUGAACGCUGGCGGUAGGCCUAACACAUGCAAGUCGAACGGCAGCACAGUAAGAUCUCGCUGUUACGGGUGGCGACUGGCGGACGGGUGACGCAUACAUCGGCAUCUACUCUGUCGUGGGUGAUAUCGGAGGGAAACUUAUGCUAACACCGCAUACUACCUACGGCUGAAAGUAGGGGAUCUUCGGGCCUUGAGCGUCUGCAUGUGCCGAUGUCGGAUUAGCUAGUUGGCGGGGUAAAGGCCCACCAAGGCCACGAUCCGUAGCCGGUCUGAGAGGAUGAUCGGCCACACUGGAACUGAGACACGGUCCAGACUCCUACGGGAGGCAGCAGUGGGGAAUAUUGGACAAUGGGCGCAAGCCUGACCGAGCAAUACCGCGUGAGUGAAGAAGGCUUUCGGGUUGUAAAGCCCUGUUGUUGGGGAAGAAAAGGUGCAGGUUAAUAUCUCGGUGUCCUGACGGUACCUAACGAAUAAGCACCGGCUAACUUCGUG